rnacentral:lncRNA from 10 species
CGAGGGAGGUGCUGCUAUCCUCCCCCUUUACAGACGCGGACAGCGGCGGACAUGAGGAAAGGCCAGAGGCAGCAGCCAGCCCAUCUCAGGCCCGUCACCGUGGAAGCAGCGGCCGGAGGAGCCACAGAAAGCAAAACUCCCAAAGCCGCCCACGUACUUCGGGUCUUAGCUUGGAUCUCCUGGAGACAGGCCCUGCGAAGGAGCUGGGCUGGGAGCAGGUUUAUCAGGGCGUGAUCUUAGGAGGCAGAUGUAGGAGGUGAGGAAGGCAGGGUGUGUAGAGUGCAGCUGACCCAACCGGCCCGGCCGACCCACAGGACGCCCUGGGCUGAGACGCUGUCAGCACUGCCCCAGGCUGAGACCACCUUGGGAGGGGUGUAACCUUGUGCAGGGGGGCUCUCUGCAGCGGAGGGCAGUCCUGGGGAGGACACGGCUGAGGACACAUGCAGUGACGUCCCAGCGUUCCCAGCAGUGGGGAGGGUCGGGGGGGCAUCCAGUGCCCACGACACUCAUGAACACAAAAACCAACCAGAGAAAACCCAGUCUCCAGCAAAGAGCCGAGUGCUGAGUGUGCAGCGUUCUCCGCCUGUCUCUCCCCCUUUCGCACCUCUAUCCCAGGCAGGCCCUCCCUGGCCUUGCCACCAUGCCGGACCACCGUGUGGACCCUGUGCUCACCCAGGCCUCACCUUUCAGCCCCCUAAGCUGGGCCCAAAGCAGCAGACUGUGUUAUGGAGGGUGCUGUGGCUCACGGCCCCCACCCCCUGCUAGGCAGAGUUGCCGGGUAAAAGACAGGAUAACCAAUUAAAUUAGAACGUCAGAGAAACACAGUGAUUUUUCUUUUUUUCUUUUCUUUUUUUUUUUUUUUUGAGACGGAGUCUCACUCUGUCACCCAGGCUGGAGUGCAGUGGCGCAAUCUCGGUUCACUGCAAGCUCCGCCUCCC